rnacentral:rRNA from 1 species
AGCAGCAACGCCGCGUGGAGGAUGAAGGGUCUAUGACUUGUAAACUCCUGUAAAGAAGGAAAAAAUUCCCAUUUGAUGGGAGAUGAUGGUACUUCUGGAGUAAGCCCCGGCUAACUACGUGCCAGCAGCCGCGGUAAUACGUAGGGGGCAAGCGUUGUCCGGAUCUACUGGGUGUAAAGGGUGCUCAGGCGGAUUUGUAAGUCAGAGGUGAAAUCUUACAGCUUAACUGUGAAACUGCCUUUGAUACUGCUAGCCUAGAGUAUGGAAGAGAGUGAUGGAAUAUCUGGUGUAGCAGUGAAAUGCGUAGAUAUCAGAUAGAACACCAAUGGGGAAGGCAGUCGCUUGGUCCAGUACUGACGCUAAAGCACGAAAGCGUGGG